rnacentral:lncRNA from 10 species
GUGGGAACAGGCUGGAGAAAGUGGCUCAAGGACCUGGUUACAGAAUUUUCUGGGGUUUAAAUACACUCUAGAGGUUUCCUGUUGGUUACUUGGUGUACACCCUAUGUAAAUGAAGUAGUGGCCCGCAAUCAGUCUGAUUGGUUGCAGGAGGGGAACAAUCAGAGACUGAAGCAAAGUUACAGUUACACCCUAUGCAAACGACUAAUUGGUUGCAGAAAGUGAUGAAUCAGAGGCUGAAGUGAAGUUACAAAGUUAUACUCCUAUGCAAAGGAAGACUUGGCCUGUGACCAGCCUGAUUGACUGCAGGAGGGGACCAGUCAGAGCUCUCACCCCUGCAGUACGCUUCUUUCCGUUGGGUUUCCUCCGCCUGUAAGUCACCUUUCUUGAAGGGGUAUCUUCAAGAAGACCCAAGCCUGCCUAGCUUUCCUGGUGUCCUCCUGGCCAUAGGAAACUCUCCUGUUUUUGUCUCACUGCACCGUUACCUCUUCUUUUCCAUACCAUUCUACUCCAGCCAGGUUCCAGCUUUCAUCAUUCUCCAGAGAAGACAUCUCCAUUUUCACAUAAGCUCCCCAACUCUCAAGAAGACAUGUCAAACUUCAAAGAACUUUUUUUACUAUGUGCUCCCAUGCUCUGAUGGCAACAUCUAAAUAGGUUUACAAGUUUCUGAAGUUCAGCAUGUGAAGGGGUCAAUGGGGGAACUGAGAUGCAGAUCCCCUUUUCUUGAGGACACCUCUAAUUUGGUUUCACAGAGCUGGGAGAUGGUGCUCCCUCCUCUCCUCCACAAAGAGAAAAGCCACGGCACACUUCCUCACUGCGGCCCCCUCUAAAAUCUUUCUCUAUUCAACUAACGUUCUUUUGAGUUAUUUUCCUUUAUGUGAUCUGGUUGCCAUACAGAGGAUGAAGCCCUCUUUUAUAAUAUAAACCCUGAAGGGCAUGUAUGGCAGGUUCUUAAUGUUCUCUUUGGAAUUUGAUGCUACAUAGCUUCUAAUAUACUGAAUUUUGGGACUCUAAACAACAUUCUAAAACAAUAGGAAAAGUCUUUCCAAUAUCAUGAUGUGAUCAUCAUUGCUGUUUC